CCACCACCACCACCACCACCACCACCAAGAAGGUCCAAGGUGCCCUACAGGAGCUUGAUGCUCUGUAGAACUCCAGGCCUAUAGGCAGAGAUGAGAGAGCCCACCUGUGUCAUGUUAACAUCUACUGAAGGUGCAGCAUUGUUACUGCACUAACAGCCCACACACGCUCAUGCAGAGUCACCUGAGCUGCUGUCCCAUGUGGUUUUCCUGGAGUGCAUGUUCUUCACACCAGGAAUUCGUGGUUCUCCUACAGUGCACACCCCACAGAUACAAACACACGAGGGUCUUUUGAAGAGCAGCAGUUGAUGUUCAUCAAAGGGAAGAAAAAGAAGCCUUUGCAGCAUCUGAAGACAUUGGAAUAUACUCUGCGAUUUCCUGGACUUUAUGCUGCCUCUUGUAAGUGUUACCUACUUUCAGCCCUUGGAAAACAGGACUGCACUAUAGACAAUGACUGUGGGAUUUCUGUUAUCUUGGAGCAAAUACAGUUUUUAUGCUUUCCCCCCUAUUAAAGUACUUUAGAAAAUGAAGUACAGAAAAAGCAAGAUCUUGCUCAUAAUUAGCGCUGAGGGCCAGCUAUUCUUGUACUUCAAGAACAUGGUUUAGAAAGGGGAUCCGCU